GCUCGGGUGGCGGAACAGGCAGACGCAGCGGACUCAAAAUCCGCCGGGGGUGACCCCAUAGGAGUUCGAUUCUCCUCCCGAGCACCA
rnacentral:tRNA from 1 species